GUUCAUUCAAAAUACAUAGCUCUCUAACUUCACCUACAUGAAUCUCUCAAAUACAUAGGUGUGCUAAUGCAAAAAGGAAAGCUACUAUACUACCACGGUCUCACUGAUCGGGCGCGAUGCCCUUGCCGCGGUCCUCUCUCGGCAACCCUGUACCUACCACUGGAAAUAGAGUGGGGUGAGAACUAUCUUCCAUAGUUCCCAGUGGGCUCGGCCGCCGACUCCACCGAUCUCCCCACUAGGUCCAAAUGGGCACGAGUAACAACAAGUUGACAGAUAGAUAGAUAUCUGAUAGCUAUAAAUGCAUAAAGGAAAUCUAUGCUACUAUUCCCAUAAUCAUGUAUAAUGAAUGCAUGCAUCAUAUAAUAACGGUUUACUAUCAUGCUAACGAAUUCGAUCUAUGUUCG
rnacentral:lncRNA from 1 species